rfam:Microbacterium laevaniformans OR221 ctg500, whole genome shotgun sequence.
AUGACGUGUGCGGGAGAGCCCCGGCAUCCAGCGUUUCUCGAGGAUCCGGGCACCGAAGGAGCAAGCCUCCCCGCCAAUCUCUCAGGUCCGCGUACCGCUCGCGUCCG